AAGUCGUAACAAGGUUUCCGUAGGUGAACCUGCGGAAGGAUCAUUAACACGUUAUCCACGUAUCAUCAAACGAGGACCGUUACUUUCUACCUCUGUGAAGAAUGAACAGCAACAAGAUAGAGUGGUGGAAGCGGGUCGAUCUUCGGGUCCCCUGGCUCUAUUUGUUAUUGUUAGCUUGACGGGCCUGCUUUUUGGCAGGUCUCCGAUGGGCGCUACUGUUGUAUCUGAAUCGGGAGGCCACUCUUAGCGCACAACUCUGCUUCCAUGAAGUGGGCGCUAGGAAACUUAUUAACAAUUCUAACCCUUUUUGCUAGUUGACUUUUAUAUGUUGCGCUUUGUUUCGGCAAGGUGCACACGUUUAAUUAUUGAACGUUAAAAAUACAACUCUUAGCAAUGGAUAUCUAGGUUCUC
rnacentral:misc_RNA from 1 species